GUGCCAGCAGCCGCGGUAAUACGUAGGUGGCAAGCGUUGUCCGGAUUUAUUGGGCGUAAAGCGAGCGCAGGCGGUUUCCUAAGUCUGAUGUGAAAGCCCCCGGCUCAACCGGGGAGGGUCAUUGGAAACUGGGAGACUUGAGUGCAGAAGAGGAGAGUGGAAUUCCAUGUGUAGCGGUGAAAUGCGUAGAUAUACGGAGGAACACCAGUGGCGAAGGCGGCUCUCUGGUCUGUAACUGACGCUGAGGCUCGAAAGCGUGGGGAGCGAACAGGAUUAGAUACCCUGGUAGUCCACGCCGUAAACGAUGAGUGCUAAGUGUUGGAGGGUUUCCGCCCUUCAGUGCUGCAGCAAACGCAUUAAGCACUCCGCCUGGGGAGUACGACCGCAAGGUUGAAACUCNAAGGAAUUGACGGGGGCCCGCACAAGCGGUGGAGCAUGUGGUUUAAUUCNAAGCAACNCGAAGAACCUUACCAGGUCUUGACAUCCUUUGACCACUCUANAGAUAGAGCUUCNCCUUCNNGGGCAAAGUGACAGGNGGUGCANNNUUGUCCNCANCUCGUGUCGUGAGAUGUUGGGUUAAGUCCCNCAANGAGCGCAACCCUUAUUGUUACNCGCCNUNNNUGANUUGGGGACUCUUNCGAGACUGACAGGNGACCANNNNGA
rnacentral:rRNA from 1 species